rnacentral:rRNA from 1 species
ACGGAAGGCAGCAGUGGGGAAUAUUGCACGAUGGGGGAAACCCUGAUGCAGCGACGCCGCGUGAGCGAAGAAGUAUUUCGGUACGUAAAGCUCUAUCAGCAGGGAAGAAAAUGACGGUACCCGACUAAGAAGCCCCGGCUAACUACGUGCCAGCAGCCGCGGUAAUACGUAGGGGGCAAGCGUUAUCCGGAUUUACUGGGUGUAAAGGGAGCGUAGACGGCAAGGUAAGUCUGAAGUGAAAUGCCGGGGCUCAACCCCGGAACUGCUUUGGAAACUAUCUCGCUCGAGUACCGGAGGGGUAAGCGGAAUUCCUAGUGUAGCGGUGAAAUGCGUAGAUAUUAGGAGGAACACCAGUGGCGAAGACGGCUUACUGGACGGUAACUGACGUUGAGGCUCGAAAGCGUGGGGAGCAAACAGGAUUAGAUACCCUGGUA